GACGAACGCUGGCGGCGUGCUUAACACAUGCAAGUCGAACGGAAAGGCCUCUUUCGGGGGGUACUCGAGUGGCGAACGGGUGAGUAACACGUGAGUAACCUGCCCUUGACUUUGGGAUAACUUCAGGAAACUGGGGCUAAUACCGGAUAGGAGCUCCUGCUGCAUGGUGGGGGUUGGAAAGUUUCGGCGGUUGGGGAUGGACUCGCGGCUUAUCAGCUUGUUGGUGGGGUAGUGGCUUACCAAGGCUUUGACGGGUAGCCGGCCUGAGAGGGUGACCGGCCACAUUGGGACUGGGAUACGGCCCAGACUCCUACGGGGGGCAGCAGUGGGGAAUAUUGCACAAUGGGUGGAAGCCUGAUGCAGCAACGCCGUGUGCGGGAUGACGGCCUUCGGGUUGUAAACCGCUUUCGCUCAUGACGAAGCUUUGUGUGACGGUAGUGGGUAAAGAAGCACCGGCUAACUACGUG
rnacentral:rRNA from 1 species